UGGAUUUUGAUUAAUAAAGUUGGCUCUUUCCCUAAAAAAAAAACUCGUGGAAAACACGGACUGAGAUCUGAGUCCUAACGUAAUUCGCCGCCUGCCGCCCAGACAAACCGCGAGGCGCCCUUGCAAGCUCAUCUCCGGUCUCCAGCAGUCGUCUUCAAUCUGCUGCAGAUCUAUGGCCUCGGUGACAAGAUCCACGCCAGGCCGGCAUGAGACGAAUUUUUUUCAAGAUCAUCUGCAUUAUGCACGUUGGACGGCCGGCCGGCUUGGCGAUCUAUGACCUCGCAAUUUUAUCUGGGACGCUGUUUUUGCGUGCCGUUGAUCAAUCGAGAAGAGGAAUUUUGGAUAACAUCCCUAAUGAGGUGAUAUUUAAAGCUUCCAUGGGAAAAUUGUCGUGCGAUGAAACGGGAGGAGGCUAGAAUUUUAUUCGAGAAGAUUAGGAACACCACAUUGUUGCUUCUCAAGUUACUGUCUUAAAUGGUUAGUUUACUUUGACUUUGCAACAAACUUGUCAUAAUAAUGUGUGUGAUGAAAUUAUAUUAUUAGAAAAUAUAUGAUUUCGUUUAUUAUUUUCAGUCACAAUAUAUAUAUGUUGGUGUAGUUGUGUUGUUACUUUUUGAACUGAUCUAAUCAUUAGUUUCUACACAUCUUUCGUAAAAAAGUCACUACACAUCUCUGCCCCUUCUCAGUUUUCAUCCUGGAUCCGCCCCUGUUCAGUGGCGGAGCUUGAAAGAAAAAGCUGGGCGGGCCAAACUAAAAAAGCUGGACUGAAAAUGCAUGUUCAACACUCGCCGUAGAAACUGAAACAGUAUUGAGUAAACGAAGUAGUCUGUCAACCAAAUUGUAGAUGGUCCUUUCUCCACAAGGCAUCAACAAAAAUCAGUCCGCAAGUGUCCUUUUUUUUAACUAAAAAACAAGUAGACAGAGAACUUUUGCAGCACCUUCAAAUCCUAAACUGAACUUUUCAACCAUGGGAUUGUGCUAAGAUUACAAAAGAUUCACGAGGCUACUGGUAAGCAUCUGGGUAGUCAAAUCAUUAUCCAACGUUGGAGAAGUAAAUCAUGUAAGCUAAUCUGAACCAACCUACAGCUAAGUCAUGCAGGCUUCAAGUAAAUAGAGAACACCUAAAGAAUCUACAGACGGCAGCUCCCAGGAUCCAAUCGUAAGACAGUAAAAGCAGCCCAAGAUCGUAUUUUUACACUGAACUUGGCGCCGGUGAAGGACGCCAUUGUUGGAAUUAUGUGUCCUGCAACUAUAUUCAAAUUACUUGAAAUUGUUAAAUAUUUGGAAUACCUCAUUAUGAAAUUAUACAUGUAUUUGUACAUGGAAUUGUUUUACAUGUUUAGCAUGAAAAAUUAUCACUUGUUGGAAUGUACUUAAGUAACAUAUGCUUAAGGAAGCUGGUCGAUUAUCAGUGGAAUACAAUAUACAAUUUAUAUUGGAAAGACUACACGGGUACACUGAUAAUUGGAAGGAGCUAGAUCGUAUAGUUAGAUUACAGCUCUAAUGUUGAUCUACAUAAUUAGAGGAAUUUACACUCUAUUAUGGCGCGUUGCUCACAAGCGCGUGCUCCGGGGACAAAACGGGUAAAAUUCGUUAAACAGACAAAUAUGAUCGUGGUUGGUAAUUUGAUCUGGACUCUAUCCCGGAAACUAGUGAAAAAGACUAGGAAUCUUAUAUCUGUAUAAGAGAUGGACUCUUUGAAAAGACAAUAUAAGAAGGUCCCUACUCCCUAGACUCAGAUAUGCGAAUUGUGAGCGGCACCACGGAUAAGCGCAAAGAAAUUAAAGGAGGGAAGGGAUGCUAAUUAUGAAUCCCAAGUACUAUCUAUUGAUUUAUUAGAUUGUUGAUUUUCGGACUAACUUGUUUGAUUGCUAAUCUACUGCAUGUACAUUUAUUGGAAAAUAAGUCUACUCCUUGGAAGAACUUAAGGAGGACUCCGGAUUAAAUGUGCGGAUGCACUGCACAGAGCAAAUGGUUACAUUGAAAAUUGCUAUGGUGGAAAUAUCGUCUGGAAAUUUACACAUAACCUGGAAAGGAAUUUCAGAGAAGUAUUAUUAUUGAGCAUCACUUGUUUGUGGAGGAAGAUGAGAGUUACUCUGAGGACAAGGAUAUUUGCUCUUCAUUUAUUAGUAUUCCUAAUGAUAAUAUUUGCACUAUAUUUAUUUAUUUUGGUCUACUUCUUUAAGUAGUUGGA